CUGGUGAGUCCUGUCCGUCCUGUGACUGAGGGACAUUCGGUCUCUCUUGGCUGCAAGUUGAGGACAAAAGAACUUCUUGAUGAUGUGGAUUUCUAUAAAGAUGACAAACUCCUCCCAAAUGCUGUCAGAGGGGAGCUGUUUAUCUCUGCAGUUACUAAGUCACAUGAAGGCUUUUAUAAAUGUAGAGGAAGGAAAUCAACUCAAGGUUUGGAGACUUUGACCUCAGCAGAGAGCUGGUUGUCAGUGGAAUAUCCUGAAGAAGCAGCAUUAAGCUCUGUGUUUCUCGUGAUGUUGGUUGUUGGUCUGGUUUCUGGAGUUUUACUGAUUCUUCUCCUGCUGCUGUUUCUGCGUCACUACAAAAAGUCAAAAGCUUCAAGCCUCAGCAGGU